UACGUAGGGGGCUAGCGUUGCUCGGAAUCACUGGGCGUAAAGCGCACGUAGGCGGCUUGUUAAGUCAGGGGUGAAAUCCUGGAGCUCAACUCCAGAACUGCCUUUGAUACUGAAGAUCUUGAGUUCGGGAGAGGUGAGUGGAACUGCGAGUGUAGAGGUGAAAUUCGUAGAUAUUCGCAAGAACACCAGUGGCGAAGGCGGCUCACUGGCCCGAUACUGACGCUGAGGCACGAAAGCGUGGGGAGCAAACAGG
rnacentral:rRNA from 1 species